CAAUAGCGUAUAUUAAAGUUGUUGCGGUUAAAAAGCUCGUAGUUGGAUUUCUGUUGAGGUCGACCGGUGCACACCUCGUGUGUUAUUUGGUUCGGUCUCGGCAUCCUCCUGGGGAACGUGUCAGGACUUUAUUGGACUGCGCGAGAUUCAGGACUUUUACUUUGAGGAAAUUAGAGUGUUCACGGCAGGCAAGUGCUUUGAAUACAUUAGCAUGGAAUAAUGCGACAGGACCUCGGUCCAUUUUGUUGGUUUCUUGGGUUGAGGUAAUGAUUAACAGGGAUGGUUGGGGGCAUUCGUAUUUAACUGUCAGAGGUGAAAUUCUUGGAUUUGUUAAAGACGAACUACUGCGAAAGCAUUUGCCAAGGAUGUUUUCAUUGAUCAAGAACGAAAGUUAGGGGAUCGAAGAUGAUUAGAUACCAU
rnacentral:rRNA from 1 species